AACACUGUUAACCUGCGGUACCUGCGGAAGGAUCAUUACCGAGUUUACAAACUCCCAACCCUUUGUGAACCUUACCAUAUUGUUGCUUCGGCGGGACCGCCCCGGCGCCUUCGGGCCCGGAACCAGGCGCCCGCCGGAGGCCCCAAACUCUUAUGUCUUUAGUGGUUUUCUCCUCUGAGUGACACAUAAACAAAUAAAUAAAAACUUUCAACAACGGAUCU
rnacentral:misc_RNA from 1 species